rnacentral:misc_RNA from 1 species
GGGAUAUGCUUAGAACUUUCUAAAUGACUCCUAUAUUGUUUCUCACUUGUUGCUACCAACUCAGAAACAUCAUGUUCCGAAGGCAUUAUAAUAUGCACAACAUCUCCAUCCAUGCCCCAUGAAUCAACCAUUGCACCUCCACCAAGCAAUAAUUGCACGUGCAGACUUCUUUUGGGCCUCUUCCAAGAUCCUUCUGUUUCAGAAACUCUAACGGUAACAAUUGAAGAUUGAAGUUCAGCAACAUAACGUGUAAGCAGAAAUCCACCCUUGGUGAAUUCGUAUCCAUCACCAUCAUCUUCAAAU